UCCAGACUCCUACGGGAGGCAGCAGUGGGGAAUAUUGGACAAUGGGGGGAACCCUGAUCCAGCGACGCCGCGUGAGUGAAGAAGUAUUUCGGUAUGUAAAGCUCUCUCAGCAGGGAAGAAAGAAAUGACGGUACCUGACUAAGAAGCCCCGGCUAACUGCGUGCCAGCAGCCGCGGUAAUACGUAGGGGGCAAGCGUUAUCCGGAUUUACUGGGUGUAAAGGGAGCGUAGACGGCGAUGCAAGUCUGAAGUGAAAGCCCGGGGCCCAACCCCGGGACUGCUCUUGGAACUGCGUGGCUGGAGUGCAGGAGGGGCAGGCGGAAUUCCUGGUGUAGCGGUGAAAUGCGUAGAUAUCAGGAGGAACACCGGUGGCGAAGGCGGCCUGCUGGACUGCAACUGACGUUGAGGCCCGAAAGCGUGGGGAGCAAACAGGAUUAGAUACCCUGGUAGA
rnacentral:rRNA from 1 species